rnacentral:lncRNA from 1 species
UGCCUGCAUCCUAAGCUGCAAAGUACCAAGCGCUUCAUCAAAUGGUACAACGCCUGGAACGAGAAACGCAGGUACACCAAUGCUCGCCACCCCAGCCCCGCCCACCUCCAACCCCGCCCACCUCCAACCCCGCCCACCUCCAACCCCGCCCACCUCCAACCCACGCCCACCCUCGCCCACUCAGAAGGGAGUGGCUGUUAGCUAUAGCUUUCAGAGCAGGAACGGACCCACACGCCAUGCCACCUACCGGCCUCAUGUGACACCCACGUAAUAGCUAUGAAAGGAGAAACCCUAACACCACCUCACACUGCAGGUGGUGUCUCCUUUUGCGAGCACAAGUUCUAUCUCGUUUUAUCUUUCGCAUUAUAGACUUGUGUGAAGAUUUUUAAAGGUUUGUUUUUUUCUCUCUUAUGUAUAUGGGUAUCGGGCCUGCAUGUACAUAUGUGUACCCCUACAUGUCUGGUGCCUGUGGACCCCCCAAAAAGGGUCAUCAGAUCCCCUGACACUGCAGUUGCAGAUGUCAUGAGCUGCUGUGUGGGUGGCAGGAACCAAACCCAGGUCCUCUACAAGAACAGCAAUGCUCUUAACUGCCGAGCCAUCCCUCCAGCCCCUAACUCUCACAUUACAGUCCAAAUUGUUCUUUCUAUCUAAGUCACAUAAGCUGGAAGUGACUGGGUGAGCAUCUGGCAUAGUUGUCCCCUGUUAACUUCAGGGGGUGGGGUGUGACCUCUUAGGUGACAGUUUAUUAGCCAAAAAAACUACAGGUACACAGUGACCCCUGCCAGUGAGUUGAUUUCCUCUCCAAAGAGCCCCGUGCCCUGUUUGUCCUAGGCAUCUGACUUGUUCCUUCUCAGGCACGUUCUGAGGGUCAACUGAGUUCAGCCCUUUCCAAUAAGAGCCUCUUUACCCAAAGGGGCAGCAGUUGAGAUGGUCAGUGCCUUGGACCAGACACCUCUGCUGAUGGGCAGCUUUUCACCCUCGUCAGAAGGGGGCUCCCUAGUUCUAAUCUGGGGUCCUAGAUCUGGCCUUGGAAGGAGAGGCCAGUUCUCAGCUCCUGAGGUAGGUCACUCUGCAGACACCCGAGGCCUGUUUUAUCUUUACCUCCGAAGCAAAGCUAAGGAAGGAUGCACACAGAGGUGACCUCCAAGAAUUCCAGCAACUUGGCCUAAGAGGGGGAAACCAAGGUCAGGUGAGGACAC